GGAGUUAGCCGGUGCUUCUUCUGUGAGUGAUGUCCUUCCUGCCGGCUAUUAACCCGCAGGCCUUCUUCCUCACUGAAAGUGCUUUACAACCCGAAGGCCUUCUUCACACACGCGGCAUGGCUGGAUCAGGGUUGGCCCCAUUGUCCAAUAUUCCCCACUGCUGCCUCCCGUAGGAGUCUGGGCCGUGUCUCAGUCCCAGUGUGGCUGAUCAUCCUCUCAGACCAGCUACGGAUCGUCGCCUUGGUGAGCCGUUACCUCACCAACCAGCUAAUCCGACAUAGGCUCAUCCGAUAGCGCGAGGCCCGAAGGUCCCCCGCUUUCCCCCGUAGGGCGUAUGCGGUAUUAGCCUGGGUUUCCCCAGGUUAUCCCCCACUACCGGGCAGAUUCCUAUGCAUUACUCACCCGUCCGCCGCUCGCCACCAGGGAGCAAGCUCCCCGUGCUGCCGCUCGACUUGCAUGUGUUAGGCCUGCCGCCAGCGUUCAAUCUGAGCCAUGAUCAAACUCUGA
rnacentral:rRNA from 1 species